rnacentral:rRNA from 1 species
UACAGAGAGUGCAAGCGUUAAUCAGAUUUACUGGGCGUAAAGUGCGCGUAGGUGGAUAUUUAAGUCAGUUGUGAAACCCCCGGGCUUAACCUGGGAACUGCAUCUGAUACUGGAUGUCUAGAGUAUGGUAGAGGGAAGUGGAAUUUCCGGUGUAGCGGUGAAAUGCGUAGAGAUCGGAAAGAACACCAACGGCGAAAGCACUCUGCUGGGCCGACACUGACACUGAGAGACGAAAGCUAGGGGAGCGAAUGGG